AAGGGCACCACAAGAACGCGUGGAGCAUGUGGCUUAAUUUGACUCAACGCGGGAAAUCUUACCGGGUCCGGACACACUGAGGAUUGACAGGCAAUAUUAAUUUCUGCAGCUUCGGCUAAAGUUAUCAUGUUAAAUAUGCUAGUCCUUUCAUGAUUAUGUGAUAGGUGGUGCAUGGCCGUUCUUAGUUCGUGGAGUGAUCUGUCUGCUUAAUUGCGUUUCACUAAGGGCCUAUAAAUUACGUGUGUUGCGGUACUUUGACCCCUCUUUUUUCACGAGAAGAGCGCGUGUCUUAGUUUGCUUAGCUCACACAAUUAGGUCCUGAAAGCAACGAACGUGACCGCAACCUCUUGUUGCCUUUAUACCAAACAUGGAUAUUCUCUUCGGAGGGUUUCAUGAAAAAAGGCUUUUUAAACUAGAGGGACCGCUGUUACUUUCUUAAACCAGAGGAAGGUUGCGGCAAUAACAGGUCUGUGAUGCCCUUAGAUGUUCCGGGCUGCACACGUGCUACAAUGAUUAUUGCAGUGAGCAUCUCAUUUUUUACACACCGCAUACGCGAGUCCAUUUAUUCACUCUCGGGUGCUUUAAAUGUGCAUCUCUGCGAGCGGUAAAGCCUGCUUCGAAAGUAAGUGGGUAAUCAAUUAGAAGUAAUGAUUUCCUUUUUUUCUAGCACACAUAUAUACGGCGUUUAUACCCGGGCUGCCUUGUUGUAGCUUUUGUGCGUAUAGAUGUUUUUUCCGUAUGUGCGAUUGUCAAUUCAUGGUGGGGACAGACCAUUGUUAAUUGUUGGUCUCGGUCUUAACUAGGAAUGCCUUGUACGGGUCUUUGGUUCAACAAACCACCCGGAAUACGUCCCUGCCCUUUGUACACACCGCCCGUCGCUCUUACCGAUGGACUUCUCUGUGAGUUUGAGGGACUGGGAACGCAGGUUUUUUAUUAAAUCUGCACACCUAUGGAAACUUAAACGAACAGUGUGGUCUAAAGGAAAGAGAAGUCGAACAAGGCA
rnacentral:rRNA from 1 species